ACGUGUGUAGACAGACAGAUUAAUGUAGCAGUGCUGGGUUCCCAGUGGGUUGGUCACUGAGCAGCGGUAGAGGCCAGAGGUCUGCGCAGACACAUUGGCGAUGUGCACCGAGCCCGUCGUGUCACCUACAACAGAUACAGCUUUUCCCAGAUGACCUGUGGAGUAGGAAAGCCCUCUGCCACCACACAGGACAGUCGCACAUUGCCUCCAGCGUCGGUGUCCCCUUCCCACAGACACACAGGAAGAGACGGAGGUUACUUCGUUUCGCCAGUAGUUAGCGGUAACCGACUGUCUCUGUGAGUGAGUCAUUGAUUCAUUUAUUCAACCGAUUCGCUCAACACAACUGAUUCAUCCAGCCAGGAACACUAAGGCGCCACUGCAGUUGUGUCUUUGUUGGGACGUAUUUUUGUUGACGGAGCGACAACACGUGCAAUGCUGUGUCUCAAAUAAUGCUUCGACUGGAAAGCAAGACCAAAAUCCUGAGGAAGAACAACAUUUUUUGCAGUGUGAUCAGAAGCCUAAUAUUAACAAUGAAAUCAACACGAACCAUAUUGAAGAAGAGUGGACGCUAAGCAGGCCAGCCAGAGGAGCCUCCAUCCUGUACAGCCCAUCACUGAGAGGAUCUGUGUGUGUGCUUUCCUCCAUACAGGAAGAUGGUCGGGACUGAAGACAGGCAAUGUCAGCAUGGCCUCAGCAAUGGGAAACUGAUGAGUAACUGUAGAUCCGUUGAUGUAUUGUAGAAUUCGCCCGGCCACAUCCACAAAGUCACCAGAGGAAGCUGAAGAGAUACAAGAACAAAGCCUAUAGACAAAUCGCCAAUACAAUACAUCUCAACAGGCACAGGAAAGAGAAAUGCUGCAUAUCCACAUUGAG